CAUUCUCUUCUCUCAAAGUAAAUGUUGUGUUAUAGAGUGCAUUGCAAUCCAAGUAUUUGAUUAAGUAGCAACUUGCUAGCCAAUCGAGGGUUAAUGUUGUUUACUUUAUCUUGCUUAUAAGCUGAAUGUUGUCUUUGAAUCAACACAUUUAAUUUGGAAUUGUUUUGCGAACCUGUAUCAGACCAGCCUCAGAAAAGUUGCUGUUGAUCUUUAGGCUUGGUACUUUGCACAAAACUUCCUAUUACAUGAAUGGAUAUACU
rnacentral:lncRNA from 1 species